rnacentral:rRNA from 1 species
AUUGAACGCUGGCGGCAGGCCUAACACAUGCAAGUCGAACGAGUGGCGGACGGGUGAGUAAUGUCUGGGAAACUGCCUGAUGGAGGGGGAUAACUACUGGAAACGGUAGCUACUACCGCAUACCCUCAGAUGUGCCCAGAUGGGAUUAGCUAGUUGGUGGGGUAAAGGCUCACCAGGGCGACGAUCCCUAGCUGGUCUGAGAGGAUGACAAGCAACACUGGAACUGAGAAACGGGCCAGAAGCCGACGGGAGGCAGCAGGGGGGAAUAUGGAACAAUGGGCGCAAGCCUGAUGCAGCCAUGCCGCGUGUAUGAAGAAGGCCUUCGGGUUGUAAAGUACUUUCAGCGGGGAGGCGUUACCCGCAGAAGAAGCACGGGCUAACUCCGUGCCAGCGGCCGCGGUAAUAC